UACGAAGGGGGCUAGCGUUGUUCGGAAUUACUGGGCGUAAAGGGCGCGUAGGCGGCGUGACAAGUCACUUGUGAAAUCUCCGGGCUUAACUCGGAACGGUCAAGUGAUACUGUCGUGCUAGAGUACAGAAGGGGCAACUGGAAUUCUCGGUGUAGCGGUGAAAUGCGUAGAUAUCGAGAGGAACACCUGCGGCGAAGGCGGGUUGCUGGGCUGAUACUGACGCUGAGGCGCGAAAGCUAGGGGAGCGAACGGG
rnacentral:rRNA from 1 species